rnacentral:tRNA from 1 species
GUCCAGGGAUGGGAAUCGAACCCACAGUGUUCCGCUUACCGGGCAGAUGCCAUGUCCACUAGGCUACCCAGGA